UGAAGUAAAAGUCGUAACAAGGUUUCCGUAGGUGAACCUGCGGAAGGAUCAUUAAAGAGAAUAUGCCCUUCGGGGUAGAUCUCCCACCCUUUGUUUAUAUUACCUUUGUUGCUUUGGCAGGCCCGUCUUCGGACCACCGGCUUCGGCUGGUCAGUGCUUGCCAGAGGACCCAAAACUCUUAUUAUUAAUGUCGUCUGAGUACUAUAUAAUAGUUAAAACUUUCAACAACGGAUCUCUUGGUUCCG
rnacentral:misc_RNA from 1 species